ensembl:lncRNA
CAGAGGGAAACUUUAAGCCUCAACAAAAUCCAAGCUGUAAACAAGUUUAUUUCUGCUGUGAAGCUGGCCAUCUUAACAUGAGGGUUCAUAGGGAUUAAUUAGCUUUUGAAGGGCUUUUUGCGGUAAGAGAAAUAGCAGUAAGGCACGCAUUUACACAUGUGGCAAAAGCAUAGUUACUUCUUUAAUUAUUCAUAACUGCUGAUAGAUUUGGAGAGACAGAGACGGGACUGGUCAAAUGGUAAAUUGCAGUUUCUGCUCUUCUCCUCCUCAGACAGAUGUGUUCAUUCAGAGUUAUAAAGGUCAGUUUACAGGUCAAUUUGAUUGUUUGUUUUUUCAGGUUUUCUUUUUUCAAUUUUGCUUUUUUUUUUUUUUUUACAGUGGAGGCCAUUAAAAAGUUUGAAAUUCUGCAUACAUUUCAGUGUGUGUUGUUGCACAUUGCUUUUUUUAUUCAUAUUUAUUCAUUUAUGGAUGUAUUUAUGCGAGUCCACAUGGUAGGAGGCAAUAAUCAAGUAGCACAAUUGCUGAGGAAAUUCACAGCAUUGGUUGUGAACAAAUCUUUAUCAUCAUAUGUGAGUCACUGGCAAUUCUAAGGUGAACACGUCAGGUUUCUGGUAUGAAUUAGCCAGCCACAGAUAAUGCACAAAAUCAUCUGUAAACUCGUCCUGUGCAACCAGAAGUUGGGCAAACAUACUAAGUACACAGAUAGAUCUUUGGACUGCGGAGGGUCAUUUCUAUCAGAUCUUAUGAUGUCAUCAUGUUGCCAAGUAACCAUGUACUACUGGACAAAAUGAUACAUUUGUAGCAUUUAUUACACCAUGGCCCUUUAUUAAGUCAUCAAAAAAAUUUAAUACAUUGCACUAACAUAUAAUUUAUGUACAUUAAACUACAUUAUGAAUUUUAUAUUAUGAUAUAAUAUUUUGCCUAGUAAUUUGCUGAUUGGUCUUUUCCCCUCUCCUUUUCUUUUGCCAACAGCAGCAGAGUUUCUGCUGGUACUUUGUUG